UACGUAGGGGCCAAGCGUUAUCCGGAUUUACUGGGCGUAAAGCGCAUGUAGGCGGUUGACUAAGUCGGAUGUGAAAGCUCCUGGCUUAACUGGGAGAGGCCAUUCGAAACUAGUCGGCUGGAGGGUGGUAGAGGAGAGCGGAAUUCCAGGUGUAGCGGUGAAAUGCGUAGAUAUCUGGAGGAACACCAGUGGCGAAAGCGGCUCUCUGGACCAUUCCUGACGCUGAGAUGCGAAAGCCAGGGGAGAGAACGGG
rnacentral:rRNA from 1 species